rnacentral:rRNA from 1 species
GAACGGGUGAGUAACACGUGAGCAACCUGCCCCUGACUCUGGGAUAAGCGCUGGAAACGGCGUCUAAUACUGGAUACGAGUAGCGACCGCAUGGUCAGUUACUGGAAAGAUUUAUUGGUUGGGGAUGGGCUCGCGGCCUAUCAGCUUGUUGGUGAGGUAAUGGCUCACCAAGGCGUCGACGGGUAGCCGGCCUGAGAGGGUGACCGGCCACACUGGGACUGAGACACGGCCCAGACUCCUACGGGAGGCAGCAGUGGGGAAUAUUGCACAAUGGGCGCAAGCCUGAUGCAGCAACGCCGCGUGAGGGAUGACGGCCUUCGGGUUGUAAACCUCUUUUAGCAGGGAAGAAGCGAAAGUGACGGUACCUGCAGAAAAAGCGCCGGCUAACUACGUGCCAGCAGCCGCGGUAAUACGUAGGGCGCAAGCGUUAUCCGGAAUUAUUGGGCGUAAAGAGCUCGUAGGCGGUUUGUCGCGUCUGCUGUGAAAUCCGGAGGCUCAACCUCCGGCCUGCAGUGGGUACGGGCAGACUAGAGUGCGGUAGGGGAGAUUGGAAUUCCUGGUGUAGCGGUGGAAUGCGCAGAUAUCAGGAGGAACACCGAUGGCGAAGGCAGAUCUCUGGGCCGUAACUGACGCUGAGGAGCGAAAGGGUGGGGAGCAAACAGGCUUAGAUACCCUGGUAGUCCACCCCGUAAACGUUGGGAACUAGUUGUGGGGUCCAUUCCACGGAUUCCGUGACGCAGCUAACGCAUUAAGUUCCCCGCCUGGGGAGUACGGCCGCAAGGCUAAAACUCAAAGGAAUUGACGGGGACCCGCACAAGCGGCGGAGCAUGCGGAUUAAUUCGAUGCAACGCGAAGAACCUUACCAAGGCUUGACAUAUACGAGAACGGGCCAGAAAUGGUCAACUCUUUGGACACUCGUAAACAGGUGGUGCAUGGUUGUCGGUCAG